rnacentral:rRNA from 1 species
UACGUAGGGUGCAAGCGUUGUCCGGAAUUAUUGGGCGUAAAGAGCUCGUAGGCGGUCUGUCGCGUCGGCUGUGAAAUCCCGAGGCUCAACCUCGGGUCUGCAGUCGAUACGGGCAAACUGGAGUGUUGCAGGGGAGACUGGAAUUCCUGGUGUAGCGGUGAAAUGCGCAGAUAUCAGGAGGAACACCCGUGGCGAAAGCGGCUCUCUGGGACGGUACUGACGCUGAGACGCGAAAGCGUGGGGAGCAAACAGG